GACAGAGGGGGCAAGCGUUGCUCGGAAUCACUGGGCGUAAAGGGCGCGUAGGCGGGAUGGCAAGUCAGUCGUGAAAUCUCUCGGCUCAACCGAGAAACGUCGGCUGAUACUGCCGUUCUUGAGGGAUGCAGAGGAGACUGGAAUUCCCGGUGUAGCGGUGAAAUGUGUAGAGAUCGGGAGGAACACCGGUGGCGAAGGCGGGUCUCUGGGCAUUUCCUGACGCUGAGGAGCGAAAGUGUGGGGAGCGAACAGG
rnacentral:rRNA from 1 species